rnacentral:rRNA from 1 species
GGUCACACCCGUUCCCAUACCGAACACGGAAGUUAAGCUCUUUAGCGCCGAUGGUAGUUGGGGGCUUCCCCCUGUGAGAGUAGGACGUCGCUAGGC